GAACGAACGCUGGCGGCGUGCUAACACAUGCAAGUCGAACGCGAAAGGGACUUCGGUCCUGAGUAAAGUGGCGCACGGGUGAGUAACGCGUAGAUAACCUGUCUUCAUGUCUGGAAUAAUACGCCGAAAGGGGUACUAAUACCGGAUAUUCUUGCUUUUCAUAAGUUAUGCAAGCAAAGGUGGCCUCUGCAUAUGCUACUGCAUGAAGAGGGGUCUGCGUACCAUUAGCUAGUAGGUGGGGUAAUGGCCUACCUAGGCGACGAUGGUUAGCGGGUCUGAGAGGAUGAUCCGCCACACUGGCACUGGAACACGGGCCAGACUCCUACGGGAGGCAGCAGUGAGGAAUAUUGCGCAAUGGGGGAAACCCUGACGCAGCGACGCCGCGUGAAGUGAGGAAGGCCUUCGGGUCGUAAAGCUCUGUCAAGAGGAAAGAAGUGUACAAUGGCUAAUACCUGUUGUAUUUGACGGUACCUCUAAAGGAAGCACCGGCUAACUCCGUGCCAGCCGCUGC
rnacentral:rRNA from 1 species